AGGGAACGAGUCCAGCGUGAAACUAGCAACACUCCUGAAGACCAUAUUGAAUAUGCCUCCGUGAAUUGGCCGGGAAGCUCUGGGCAUCCACCGCCUCAGGGAGAAGAGACGCUGACAUACGCAGCGAUCACUCUGCAGCGGGGCAGAUGUCAUUAAUGCUCCAUUGCUGAAAUGCAGUGAUCGUCACAGCCCAGCCACAUCAAAGACCCUCCUGAAAUCAGAAGCAACUGUAGCGGCCGUGCAGUAAG